rnacentral:rRNA from 1 species
UACAGAGGGUGCGAGCGUUUGUUCGGAAUUACUGGGCGUAAAGAGCUCGUAGGUGGUUUGUCGCGUUGUUCGUGAAAACUCACAGCUCAACUGUGGGCGUGCGGGCGAUACGGGCAGACUUGAGUACUGCAGGGGGAGACUGGAAUUCCUGGUGUAGCGGUGGAAUGCGCAGAUAUCAGGAAGAACACCCGGUGGCGAAGGCGGCUCGCUGGGCCAGUUCUGACACUCGAUCCGC